GAUGAACGCUGGCGGCGUGCCUAAUACAUGCAAGUCGAGCGAAGCGGGGACGGGUGAGUAACACGUGGAUAACCUCCUUUCAGACUGGGAUAAAUUCGGGGAACCGGAGCUAAACCGGAUACUUAGAGAUGGAUCCGCGCUGCAUUGUCUAGUUGGUAAGGUAACGGCUUAACAAGGAAACGAUGCAUAGCGGACCUGAGAGGGGGGUCGGCCACCCUGGACAGGAUACACGGUCCAGACUCAUACGGGAUGCAGCAGUAGGGAAUCUUACGCAAGUGGCGAAAGCCGGACGGAGCAACGCCGCGUGAGUGAUGAAGGUCUUCGGAUCGUAAAACUCUGUUAUUAGGGAAGCGGUACCUAAUCAGAAAGCCCCGGCUAACUACGUGCCAGCAGCCGCGGUAAUAC
rnacentral:rRNA from 1 species